rnacentral:tRNA from 1 species
CGGGACGUAGCGCAGUUUGGUAGCGCACCUGAUUUGGGAUCAGGAGGCCGCAGGUUCAAAUCCUGUCGUCCCGACCA